AGAGUUUGAUCCUGGCUCAGAUUGAACGCUGGCGGCAUGCCUAACACAUGCAAGUCGAACGGAAACGAUGGGAGCUUGCUCCCAGGCGUCGAGUGGCGGACGGGUGAGUAAUACUUAGGAAUCUGCCCAUUAGUGGGGGACAACAUUCGGAAACGGAUGCUAAUACCGCAUACGCCCUUCGGGGGAAAGCAGGGGAUCUUCGGACCUUGCGCUAUUGGAUGAGCCUAUGCCUGAUUAGCUUGUUGGUGGGGUAACGGCCUACCAAGGCAACGACGGGUAGCCGGACUGAGAGGUCGAUCGGCCACAUUGGGACUGAGAUACUGCCCAGACUCCUACGGGAGGCUGCAGGGACGAAUAUUGGGCAAUGGGCGAAAGCCUGACCCAGCGACGCCGCGUGUGGGAGGAAGCCCUUCGGGGUGUAAACCACUGUCAAGAGUUACCAAGCAAUUCCCGCUAAUACCGGGAGGCGUUGAGGAGCUCCGAAGGAAGCCACGGCUAACUUCGUGCCAGCAGCCGCGGUAAGACGAAGGUGGCUAGCGUUGUUCGGAAUCAUUGGGCUUAAAGAGCACGUAGGCGGCCCGUCAAGCGUCUUGUGAAAUCCCUCGGCUCAACCGAGGAAUGGCUUGGCGAACUGGCGGGCUUGAGACAGGCAAGGGUGCGUGGAACUCUUGGUGGAGCGGUGAAAUGCGUAGAUAUCAAGAGGAACGCCGGUGGCGAAAGCGAUGCACUGGGCCUGACCUGACGCUGAGGUGCGAAAGCUAGGGUAGCGAACGGGAUUAGAUACCCCGGUAGUCCUAGCCGUAAACGAUGUCCACUAGGCUGAGGAUCUUUUGACGGAAUCUCGGCCGCAGCUAAAGCGUUAAGUGGACCGCCUGGGGAGUACGGUCGCAAGGCUAAAACUUAAAGGAAUUGACGG
rnacentral:rRNA from 1 species